rnacentral:lncRNA from 1 species
GAGCCUCAACUUAAAUGCAAGACAAAAUAUUACAAUUUGGAAGAUUUCGUGGAACUUUCUGCCUACUUUGAUUAAUUUACAUUUUCGAAGACUUGGGGUAAAUACAGUUUGUCCAAAAUGUGGAGGAGGAGUGGAAAGUAUUCAACAUGUAUUUCGAGUUUGCCUUGUGUCAUUGGAAGAGUGGAAUUCUUUAAAUCCUAUGUGGGUUGUCUCUAUGGCAAAUUUAGAUAAUUGGGAGUGGCUCACCUGGCUGUUUAAACGAAGCUCAAUUUAUCAGUGUCAUUUAUUCUGUUGCGCCUUAUGGGUGAUCUGGACAAAGCGAAGUAAGAAGUUGCAUGAAGCUAAGAGUAGUACUGGAAAAGGGAUUGCUGAAAUGACCAAUAGAUUUCUCAGGGAAAUUGAUGAAGUGGGGAAUGGAUCCCUUACCAAACAAUGGGUAGUGUCGGAAUGGAGGCCUCCAGAAACCCAAGUUGUUAAGAUCAAUUUUGGUGCGACGUAUGAUUGUAAUCAACUCGGAUCAACUUCGGGGUUGGUGGCUAGAAAUGGUGAAGGAAAGGUGCUAGCCUCAAAAUAGAUUGUGUAUAGAGGUUGCCUCUUUGUUUGUAGCAGAGGCCCAUGCAUGUCUUCAUGCUGUGCGAAUGGGGUUAGCCAUGAAAGUAGGCAAGAUUGAGGUUGAAGGAGAUGCAUUAACAAUCAUAAAAAAGUGUCAAUCUACAACCAUCGACAAAUCGAUUAUAGUAGUAUAUAUUCAAGACAUUCAACAUAGCAAAAACGGUUUUCAAAGUAUCCAGUUUAAACAUGUUUCAAGAUUGGCAAAUAAAAAAAACCCAUAGAAUCGUAGGAGAGAGUUUAAGAAAGCAAGAAGAGGUUUACCUGGAAGGAUCGAUACUUGGGUAUGCCAUGGAAUCGCUGGGUUCUAGUCGACAAAGAGAGUGAGAGCCUGAUUGAGGCGAACUGAGGAAGCAUAAAGGUUGAG